GUAAGCCCACCUGAGCCACAGAACCUUCUCCCUCCCUACAAAAGGCUCAGGAGUAGGAGGCACCAGAAACCACAAAAAAGACUCCGGCCCACAGCUCCCCGUCCCGCUCUGCCUCCUCAAGGACCCUGUGCUUCCUAUGUGGCCCUGCGUGGUGUGCUGUGACCCCCUCCUCUUGGGAACUGUAACAAGCUAUCUUUUCUAUG
rnacentral:lncRNA from 10 species